UACGGGGGGGGCAAGCGUUGUUCGGAAUUACUGGGCGUAAAGGGCUCGUAGGCGGCCAACUAAGUCAGACGUGAAAUCCCUCGGCUUAACCGGGGAACUGCGUCUGAUACUGGAUGGCUUGAGUUUGGGAGAGGGAUGCGGAAUUCCAGGUGUAGCGGUGAAAUGCGUAGAUAUCUGGAGGAACACCGGUGGCGAAGGCGGCAUCCUGGACCAACACUGACGCUGAGUGAGCGAGAGCCAGGGGAGCAAACGGG
rnacentral:rRNA from 1 species